AAAAAGGCUCCGGAGCCACAAAUACAAAUAAUAAAGAGACC
rfam:Candidatus Peribacteria bacterium RIFCSPHIGHO2_02_FTLL_51_15 rifcsphigho2_02_scaffold_18112, whole genome shotgun sequence.